rnacentral:rRNA from 1 species
AGGAGCUUGCUCCUGAUUGAUAAACAUUUGAGUGAGUGGCGGACGGGUGAGUAACACGUGGGUAACCUGCCCUAAAGUGGGGGAUAACAUUUGGAAACAGAUGCUAAUACCGCAUAAAACCUAACACCGCAUGGUGCAGGGUUGAAAGAUGGUUUCGGCUAUCACUUUAGGAUGGACCCGCGGUGCAUUAGUUAGUUGGUGAGGUAAAGGCUCACCAAGACCGUGAUGCAUAGCCGACCUGAGAGGGUAAUCGGCCACACUGGGACUGAGACACGGCCCAGACUCCUACGGGAGGCAGCAGUAGGGAAUCUUCCACAAUGGACGAAAGUCUGAUGGAGCAACGCCGCGUGAGUGAAGAAGGUUUUCGGAUCGUAAAACUCUGUUGUUGGAGAAGAAUGUAUCUGAUAGUAACUGAUCAGGUAGUGACGGUAUCCAACCAGAAAGCCACGGCUAACUACGUGCCAGCAGCCGCGGUAAUACGUAGGUGGCAAGCGUUGUCCGGAUUUAUUGGGCGUAAAGCGAGCGCAGGCGGUUUCUUAAGUCUGAUGU